rnacentral:rRNA from 1 species
CCUACGGGGGGCAGCAGUGGGGAAUAUUGGGCAAUGGACGCAAGUCUGACCCAGCAACGCCGCGUGAAGGAAGAAGGCUUUCGGGUUGUAAACUUCUUUUAAGGGGGAAGAGCAGAAGACGGUACCCGAAGAAAAAGCAUCGGCUAACUCCGUGCCAGCAGCCGCGGUAAUACGGAGGAUGCGAGCGUUAUCCGGAUUUAUUGGGUUUAAAGGGUGCGCAGGCGGAAGAUCAAGUCAGCGGUAAAAUUGAGAGGCUCAACCUCUUCGAGCCGUUGAAACUGGUUUUCUUGAGUGAGCGAGAAGUAUGCGGAAUGCGUGGUGUAGCGGUGAAAUGCAUAGAUAUCACGCAGAACUCCGAUUGCGAAGGCAGCAUACCGGCGCUCAACUGACGCUCAUGCACGAAAGUGUGGGUAUCGAACAGGAUUAGAUACCCGGGUAGUC